AGGACCAGAGAGAGAAGCAGGGUCUGAUCCACAGCUUCUGUGGCAGCUGUUGAUCAGCCCUUGCCUCUCUUUUUCUCCA
rfam:Myotis davidii contig148313, whole genome shotgun sequence.